GCCAGUCUGGUGCAGUGGUUUGAAUAUUGGAGUACAAUUCUGGAGACCAGGGUUCAAUUCCCCAUUUGGGCA